UUUUUUUUUUUAAUCAGUCAGAGGAUAAUGCAAGUGUUUAACAGAUGCUUCACUAUUAAAAUAUUUUCCCCCCAAGUCUCAAAUAUUGAAGAAUCUCUAACCAGGGACACCAGUCCCAACGAAGACCUUGGGCGAUUUCAAAGUGCGGGCACCUCGAUUCCCCGAAUCUGUAGUGUGGCUGGUAUCGGUGUUUCCCUGGUUUAACUAGCCUGCUUGGCACGACAAAUGAGACCCAAGUGCUUAUAGAACAUUCCAAAGAGUCAACAGAGAGAAGUGGAAAGUAUUAGAAACAUGAUUGUGUUUGCAAAGGGAGACAUAAACAUGGGGAAAUUGAGGCACAGAAGCCAAGACAUGCGCUAAAGGUCAUGCGGGCUAUGAAUGGAGCUGGAAUGUGAAUGCAGGCCAUGUGACUCCAGAGCCCAUGUUCUUGAACCCUUAGAAAGACAGCAGCAACACACCUGGUGCAGCAGCUGCUUAGUUGGAGUGGCUGACAAGAGAUCCUGGCAAAUGGGUGUUUCUUCUCAGAAACUGAUUUUUCUCCAUGACUGCAGUUGAAUUACAGAGUUGUAGAGACAU
rnacentral:antisense_RNA from 1 species